CACGUAGGCGGAUAGUUAAGUCGGGGUGAAAUCCCGGGGCUCAACCCCGGAACUGCCUUCGAUACUGGCUGUCUGGAGGUCGAGAGAGGUGAGUGGAAUUCCGAGUGUAGAGGUGAAAUUCGUAGAUAUUCGGAGGAACACCAGUGGCGAAGGCGGCUCACUGGCUCGAUACUGACGCUGAGGUGCGAAAGCGUGGGGAGCAAACA
rnacentral:rRNA from 1 species